AACGCGAAGAACCUUACCUGGGCUUGACAUGCUGGUGUAAGCCGGUGGAAACAUCGGCCCCUCUUCGGAGCGCCAGCACAGGUGCUGCAUGGCUGUCGUCAGCUCGUGUCGUGAGAUGUUGGGUUAAGUCCCGCAACGAGCGCAACUCUCGCUCCCAGUUGCCAGCGGUUCGGCCGGGGACUCUGGGGGGACUGCCGGCGUUAAGCCGGAGGAAGGUGGGGACGACGUCAAGUCAUCAUGGCCCUUACGUCCAGGGCGACACACGUGCUACAAUGCCUGGUACAGCGCGUCGCGAACUCGCAAGAGGGAGCCAAUCGCCAAAAAGCCGGGCUAAGUUCGGAUUGUCGUCUGCAACUCGACGGCAUGAAGCCGGAAUCGCUAGUAAUCGCGGAUCAGCCACGCCGCGGUGAAUACGUUCCCGGGCCUUGUA
rnacentral:rRNA from 1 species